GUUAUUCUCUCUAUUACCUGAUCUGGAUCAUACCAGCGUAGGGAAGUGUAUUAAUGAAGCG
rnacentral:misc_RNA from 1 species